GAUGAACGCUGGCGGCGUGCUUAACACAUGCAAGUCGAGCGAGAAGCUUAUUAUUGAUCCUUCGGGAGAUUUAAUAAGUGGAAAGCGGCGGACGGGUGAGUAACGCGUGGGUAACCUACCCUGUGCAGGGGGACAACAGUUAGAAAUGACUGCUAAUACCGCAUAAGACUACAACGUUGCAUGACGAAGUAGUAAAAACUCCGGUGGCACAGGAUGGACCCGCGUCUGAUUAGCUAGUUGGUAGGGUAAAAGCCUACCAAGGCGACGAUCAGUAGCCGGCCUGAGAGGGUGGACGGCCACAUUGGGACUGAGACACGGCCCAAACUCCUACGGGAGGCAGCAGUGGGGAAUAUUGCACAAUGGGGGAAACCCUGAUGCAGCGACGCCGCGUGAAGGAGAAGGUUUUCGGAUCGUAAACUUCUAUCAGCAGGGAAGAAAAUGACGGUA
rnacentral:rRNA from 1 species